rnacentral:rRNA from 1 species
AGAGUUUGAUCCUGGCUCAGGAUGAACGCUAGCGGCAGGCUUAACACAUGCAAGUCGAGGGGUAGGAGCAGCUUGCUGCUUUGAGACCGGCGCACGGGUGCGUAACGCGUAUACAAUCUACCUUUUACAGAGGGAUAGCCCAGAGAAAUUUGGAUUAAUACCUCAUAGUAUUUUCGAAUCGCAUGAUUUGAUUAUUAAAGUUCCAACGGUAGAAGAUGAGUAUGCGUCCCAUUAGCUAGAUGGUAAGGUAACGGCUUACCAUGGCUACGAUGGGUAGGGGUCCUGAGAGGGAGAUCCCCCACACUGGUACUGAGACACGGACCAGACUCCUACGGGAGGCAGCAGUGAGGAAUAUUGGACAAUGGGCGCAAGCCUGAUCCACCAUGCCGCGUGCAGGAAGAAGGCCUAUGGAUUGUAAACUGCUUUU